GGAACUGAGACACGGUCCAGACUCCUACGGGAGGCAGCAGUGGGGAAUAUUGCACAAUGGGCGCAAGCCUGAUGCAGCCAUGCCGCGUGUGUGAAGAAGGCCUUCGGGUUGUAAAGCACUUUCAGUCGUGAGGAAGGUAGUGUAGUUAAUAGCUGCAUUAUUUGACGUUAGCGACAGAAGAAGCACCGGCUAACUCCGUGCCAGCAGCCGCGGUAAUACGGAGGGUGCGAGCGUUAAUCGGAAUUACUGGGCGUAAAGCGCAUGCAGGUGGUUUGUUAAGUCAGAUGUGAAAGCCCGGGGCUCAACCUCGGAAUUGCAUUUGAAACUGGCAGACUAGAGUACUGUAGAGGGGGGUAGAAUUUCAGGUGUAGCGGUGAAAUGCGUAGAGAUCUGAAGGAAUACCGGUGGCGAAGGCGGCCCCCUGGACAGAUACUGACACUCAGAUGCGAAAGCGUGGGGAGCAAACAGGAUUAGAUACCCUGGUAGUCCACGCCGUAAACGAUGUCUACUUGGAGGUUGUGGCCUUGAGCCGUGGCUUUCGGAGCUAACGCGUUAAGUAGACCGCCUGGGGGAGUACGGUCGCAAGAUUAAAACUCAAAUGAAUUGACGGGGGCCCGCCACAAGCGGUGGAGCAUGGUGGUUUAAUUCGAUGCAACGGCGAAGAAUCCUUACCUACUCUUGACAUCCAGAAGAACUUUCCAGAGAUGGAUUGGGUGCCCUUCAGGAACUCUGAGACAAGUGCUGCCAUGGCCUGUCGUCAGCCUCGUGUUGUGAAUGUUGGGAUGAGGUCCCGCACGAGCGCAACCGUUUAUCCUUGUUUGCCAGCCGAGUAAUGUCAGUAACCUCCAAGGGAGAACCUGCCGUGAUAAACCGGAAGAAGGGUUGGGGAC
rnacentral:rRNA from 1 species